UCUCUUUCGCGGUUGUUGAUGCUUUCGUUCUCAGAAUUGAGUGAUGAGGUGUGACUUUGGGAUGCUCUUCGCGGAAGAAGGAGGCGAGGCAGAGAAGGGCGCCUCUCCGUCCUGUCCCAUUCGCUAACGUUAGCUGGUGCUCCGAAGUAAACAUUGAAAGGGAGGGAAGUUAUGAGGAUCUCGUCUCCACUCUCCAAGGAACAGGCAGCCCUCCUGCUAGACCUGGUUGAGUUAGUGACCCCUUCAGCCUCACCAGCAGAUAAUCUUGCCUGACAUCCUUACAUCUUUUGGUGUCAAGCCUAUUCUUACAUCAUGGCAAUGGCCUCCACUCUCCAUUAGGCCAUUGCAGGAUCUCCUGGACGAGGGGCUGGCUGCUGCAGGGUCGGCAGUAGGGGGCGACCUUGAAUUCACUCUAAGAUGAGAAAACGUACCAGCUGUGAGAUUGCAGAGACCCACCAUGAAAGGCUGAGCACCCUCUCCAGUGGGCACUAAGAAAAGGUCUCUGCUGCUGGCCUGUGUCGCGAGUCGAUGGGCCAGGAUGAAGAGCAGAGGAAGAGGAGGCAUUCCCGGGCCUCCCGGGCGCUUAACGCAAACAGACGCGACGUAAGACAGACUGGGAGUGCCAGAGUGCCGUGACGGUGCUGGGGGAGGACGCAGGCGUGGCUUGGGGAGGGGGCUUUACCUCUCACUACAGCAUCCCGUGACAAGAGCUGAUAUUCCCCAGAUCACAC